CCUUUCUCAGCCUCUCAAGUCAUUGUUAUUAUAGGCGUGAGCCAUUGUGCCAGGCUUAGACAUUUUAAAUCACGAUUAAACAAUGUGUAGUAUUGGCAAUGCACAGAAGUACAGUGAAAGGACAAUAUGUACAGCCAGGACUUAAUUCAUGCACACACAAAGAAUGACAAAGUCUCUUUGAUGCAUGACUGACAGUAGCUACAAGGCUCUGUAGAUUUUACAAUGCAUCCCAGUUUCAGAGAUGUUGAAAUGUGAAAAACAUAUGUGUCUUAAAAUGAAUAAAACAAAGCAGUAGCGAUAACAAUGUGAUAGCUACCAUAGUGCUGCUCAGCUUGGGGGAAAAAGGGCUCCAUAUAGAAAACAAAGGAUAAUCCAAAUCAUAGUUUAAACAUUAUAUUUCCCUGCUCAUUUAAAUUUACUACAUUUUCUUUGAGGGGGCUAGAAACACCCAUUUGAAGGCCAAGAAAAAGUUGAAUCAAUUUUGUUUCAACUUCAUAUAAAGUAGAUUAGGAUAUUAUUAUAGAAAAAAGGAAGCAAUUAAGGGGAUGCCACUUUGGCAAGCAAGAAAGCUAAACAGAGAAAGAGAGAGAGAAAGAAAGAGAGGAAGGAAGGAAGGAAGAAGGAAGGAAGGAAGGAAGGAAGGAAGGAAGGAAGGAAGGAAGGCAGGCAGGCAGGCAGGCAGGCAGGCAAGCAAAGCAAAGCGGGCAGGGAAAGAAAGGGCACUGUUGAAUAGAAAUAUAAAGUAACACUAGGAUGCGGGUACAUUACAACCUCUAUUUUCCAAGUGAGGAACUGAAGCAGAGUUAUUCAGAUUGCCAGGAAUACAUGAUUCGGGAUGUACAGAGUAAAGAUUUGAGCUCAGACCGCCUGAAUUCAGAGUUCCCCCCAAGACCUCUAUGCUAAUCUGCCUUUGACCUUUGACAGGGAGUCAGAGGGAGGGUGGGGAGGGGCAGCUGUGUGUUUAAAUCUAACAGAAAGGUCUUGUAAAAAUUCUAUCUACAUUUAUUCAAAUAAUAACAGGUUACUCCAGUACUAUUGUUCACCAAGUUAUUAUUCUGACAUGAGUAGUAGAAAGAUCUCAACCAUUUCCAAAAUAAUUUCUUAUAAUCAUUAAAAUUUUGGUCUUGAUUUCUAAAAGCUGGGCACUUUAAACAGUUAUUAAGGCCCUGGCUUCCUUAUCUAAAAAUAAAUUAAGGGUCCUUUUUGCAUUUUUAUUAUGUACCAUAUCUUAAAAAUGUGUUCAUGCAUUCAUUCAUUCAACCAACAUUGAUUGAAACUCUAUCAUGUGGCAUACAUUGUGCCAAGGGAUGUGCAAACAGCAGGAAACAACACAGCCAGGAUGCCUGCCCUCACAUAGCUUACUGUCUCAUCUAGCAGUGAAGACAGACUUUAAACUCCAAAAGUAAGUACUUAGGUUUUAAACAUUCACCUUUGCAGAGAUUUGGGCUCACAAAAAUAAUCCUGAAAAAGCUGGAAUGAUGAAGUUUCUCAAUGAAGCAUUAAACAGAUGGCUGUAACAAGUGCCAUAUCUGAGUUUGAUCUUAUGGCAACUGCAAAGAUAGUGAAUAACAUCUGCAAGUGAUUUCAAAGUAAUAAAAACUGCUCUUGUUUAAAGAUCUUCUGUGAAUAGCUGCAUUGCCUUCUCAAAUUGGCAGUGCAGAAAGCUCUCUACAGAAUAACAUUAUUUUGUUAUGGAAUCUUUAUGAAGGAAUAAGAUCCACCCCAAAAGGAAUGUAUUAAUUAGAGACAAACUGAUCACUACUAUUCUUAGAUUUUAACCAAUUAAGUCUUACAAAUUUGAUUAUUUUAAUUAGGGAAGAUAUUCUCAGAGGAAUUUUGGUAGUUUUGGUCUGGAGAGCAAGAAGAGGAAAAAAGAGAGUUGGCAAAAAGACACGUAGCUGAUGCAAGAAAAUGUUUUAGAAUAAAAAUGUCAGAUAUUGAAUUUUCAGUUUUCAUGUGCUGCAAAAUAAAGUUCUCUUAAUCUCCCAACCCUUUAUCAAAGUUGUUGCAUGUUCAGAGACUUGACAUGGGUGUGUGUGUGUGUGGAUGUGUGUGUGUGUGUGUGCGCACAUGCCUGCACGUGCCUGCGUGUGGGUGUGCAUCAGAUCAAAGAGGUUAAACUUCAUGUUUAGAUUGACUAUCUAGGAAUAAAGACAAAACAAAAAGCAAAACUUAAGUGGAGACAAAAUGCCAGAGCCAGAGAUGCCAGAGAAACACAACUGCACCCCACACAGAUGCAGACCCAGACACAGACACACACACACUUCCAGAAAUUUCCGGGAAUUACGUAUUUGCUUUAAAAAAAAUGGAUUCAAAUCAAAUUUAUCUGUAUCUAUUCUAGCUCUUAAGGAUUUAUGUUACAUAAGAAUAGUUGAAAAAAAUAAAAAUAGUAGCUAACAUCUGUCAAGAGCCUGCAUUGUUAUUUAAUCCUCAGAGCUACGGAAGGUCAGUUGCUUCAUCGCUAUUUUACAGAAAGGGAAACUAAGAAUGGUUCAAUAAGAUCACAAAAAUAGGAAGGGCAAGGAGGAAUCUUAUCUCUAUUGGACUCCAAAGUUUGUGGGUUUAACUCUGCUUAGCCUGAACAAGACCGGGGAAGAGCACAAUCGCUUUCCUAAAAUGGAUAAAAACAGUCAGUCAACAAGAGGAACAAAUCUUCUCUCCUAUUCAGAGAUAGAUCCAGAAACAAUUAAUAAGCACUUUGGGGAGGAAGUUUUGUCUCCAUAUCAACAAUUUCAGCCACUAGAUCUUUCCAACUGUGGAACUGCCUAGGAUAUAAGGCAGAGGUUGGAUGAAUGAUCAUAUGACAAAAAUACCAUGAGAGAUAUGGGAGAUGGGGUGAGGUGGGAGCUGGUGAUUUUCAGGCUCCAUGAAAGCCUAACAUUCUAUAAACCAAAAUUCUUUGUCAAGAAAAAAUAAAUUUUCUUUAUCUUUUUUUUCCGAGUUCUGUGGAUAUAAGACCAGAGGUUUUAGACUAUUAGAUACCUGAUUCUAACCCCAAUUUCUACUUCUGACUUUAAGCUGCAAAUGGCAUUAUUCAAGUCUUCUGUUAUUAUUUUAACUCCAAUAGGAAAAAAAUGAUGAAGAAUAAACUCAAAUGUUUUUUGCAUAAACUAUUCCUAAGCUAGAUUAUCCCAUCUUUGAAUGUGUUCAAUUUGGCAUCGGUCCCCAGAAUUUCAGAAAAUAUACCCAAUAUUUUUUGGAAUAGAAUCAAAUGCAUGAAUAUCCAAUAGAAAAUUUAUUUGUCCUUAUGGUAUAAGAAUUCUUCUUAAGUAACUAUGAUCUGUGUAUUUGAAGGUGGCCUUAAAAUUAAUGAAGCCUGGGAUAGCCCUGGAAGAAAUCCCAGUCUCUCUUGGAUGGCUGUAGAGGAACAUAAAACUUUGCUCAACCAUAAAAUGAUUAUGCAUAAAUCCAACCUACUCAGACUUACUCCUCAACAAAAAACAUUAAGAGAAUUUUUCAAGAUCAUUACAAGCAUCAAAAGGAAGAUGAGGCCAUGAUUUUAAAAUACAUUUUUCCUCAUAAUUUUCAAACACUUCUGGAUCAGGAAGAUUCAUACACCAGUGGCUCUUCUUCCUGGCAAAGCUACAAUCGAAUAUAUCCAUGUACAUACAUGUGUGCAUGCAUCAUGCAUGUGUAUAUUUCUUAUAAGAUUUUCAUUGUAUAUUCCAUUAGCAUUUAAUGCAUUUUUUGCUUUUUACAAUUGAGUCAUAAAUCUCACUGAUGGAUAUGGAAUUGAGGUCACUCUUGCUGCUCUGUGUAGCAAAGUCAAUCACACCCUGAGGGUCAGCUAAUGCUGUUCUUCAUGGCUUGUUCAGGAGAACUUUGAAAUAAGACAUCCAUCUGUCUGGAAUGUCAGCAUUUUCAGCAUACAGACUUGCCUUUUCAUCAUCAGUAAGGAUACAGCCCUGGGAGUGUUAUUUUUUUUUUUGCUAAGUAUAGCAAACUCUUCAUGGUCCAGUGCAUUAAAUGUUGUCUUCUCACGAAUGAUAUUUUCAGUAGGUCAUCCAUUCACUGCCUCAUACUUGAGAUGCCAGAAGUGAGUUGAUGCUUGUUCAAACAUACUUGUGUAGAGUAGUGAUAGUUUUCCCAGACUUCCAAUUUCCAAGGGAUAUUUACAGCUUGCUAAGUUUAUACCAGUGGAAUGUGACCUUUCCGACAGUCUCCCAAAGUCUUCUCAUUCCAGCAUUAACCCAAAAUUCCAAGUCCAAAGUCUCAUCUGAGACAAGGCAAGUCCAUUCUGCCUAUAAGCCUGUA
rnacentral:lncRNA from 10 species